UAAAAGUUUUUUUGCUUUUAGGUUUCAGGGAAUUUUGAUUUAGAUGCAAGUUUGGGCAAUAAACAAGAAGCAUUUUAAAUAAGGGUUUAUUUAUUUUAAUAGGGCAAUUAUUAAAAUUAAAUUAUUCGGGAGGCCGAGAAAUAGCAGGGAUUUUUGAGUAUAAACAAAAUUUGUGCCAGCAGUUGCGGUUACACAAAUUAUGCAAUGAAAUUUUAUUGGGUGUAGUUAAUCAAUUAUAUACAUUUAAUAGGCUAAAAAAAAUUUUAUUAGGUGAAAUUUUAAAAUUUUGAAAGCUUAAUACGAUAGAGAUGAGGCUAGAAAAUUUUAACGAAAGACUAGGAUUAGAUACCCUAUUAUAAAAAUUAAGUUAUUAAGCCUAGAUUAUUAGUAGUUAAGUUCUUGAAAAUUAAUAGAGAUGGCGGUAUUUUAGUCCAUUCAGAGGAAUCUGUCCUAUAAUUGAUGUUCCACGAUUUUAGUUACUUAAAUUUUUAGCUUAUAUAUCGCUGUAGUUUGAAUAUUUCUUUUGAAUAUUAAUAUUCAUAAAUUUUAAUGAAAGGAUUUCAAGUCAAGAUGUAGCUUAUAUUUAAGAAGAGGUGGAUUACAAUACAUGUAGAUUUGGUUAGAAAGUUGAAAUAUUUUUUAUAAAUUGGAUUUGAUAGUAAUUUUUUAAUAAAAUUUGAAAAAUGAUUUUGGCUCUAAAAUACGUACAUAUCGCCCGUCGCUUUCACUUUAAGGUGGAAUAAGUCGUAACAUAGUAGAUGUACUGGAAAGUGCCUCUAGAAGG
rnacentral:ncRNA from 1 species